UACGGGAGGCAGCAGUGAGGAAUAUUGGUCAAUGGUCGAGAGACUGAACCAGCCAAGUAGCGUGCGGGAUGACGGCCCUAUGGGUUGUAAACCGCUUUUGCAGGGGAAUAAAGUGGCGCACGUGUGCGUUUUUGCAUGUACCCUGAGAAUAAGGACCGGCUAAUUCCGUGCCAGCAGCCGCGGUAAU
rnacentral:rRNA from 1 species